rnacentral:rRNA from 1 species
GGAUUAGUGGCGAACGGGUGAGUAACACGUGAGUAACCUGCCCUUGACUCUGGGAUAAGCCCGGGAAACUGGGUCUAAUACCGGAUAGGAACGUCCACCGCAUGGUGGUUGUUGGAAAGAUUUAUCGGUCAUGGAUGGACUCGCGGCCUAUCAGCUUGUUGGUGAGGUAAUGGCUCACCAAGGCGACGACGGGUAGCCGGCCUGAGAGGGUGACCGGCCACACUGGGACUGAGACACGGCCCAGACUCCUACGGGAGGCAGCAGUGGGGAAUAUUGCACAAUGGGCGAAAGCCUGAUGCAGCGACGCCGCGUGAGGGAUGACGGCCUUCGGGUUGUAAACCUCUUUCAGUAGGGAAGAAGCGAAAGUGACGGUACCUGCAGAAGAAGCACCGGCUAACUACGUGCCAGCAGCCGCGGUAAUACGUAGGGUGCGAGCGUUAUCCGGAAUUAUUGGGCGUAAAGAGCUCGUAGGCGGUUUGUCGCGUCUGUCGUGAAAGUCCGGGGCUUAACCCCGGAUCUGCGGUGGGUACGGGCAGACUAGAGUGCAGUAGGGGAGACUGGAAUUCCUGGUGUAGCGGUGGAAUGCGCAGAUAUCAGGAGGAACACCGAUGG